rnacentral:siRNA from 1 species
CUAGUCUGAUUGUGUUUAUAAGGU